UACGUAGGGGGCAAGCGUUGUCCGGAAUUAUUGGGCGUAAAGAGCGCGUAGGCGGUCCGGUAAGUCGGCUGUGAAAGUCAAGGGCUCAACCCUUGAAAGCCGGCCGAUACUGUCGGACUAGAGUCCGGAAGAGGCGAGUGGAAUUCCCGGUGUAGCGGUGAAAUGCGCAGAUAUCAGGAGGAACACCGGUGGCGAAGGCGGGUCUCUGGGCCGAAACUGACGCUGAGGAGCGAAAGCGUGGGGAGCGAACAGG
rnacentral:rRNA from 1 species